rnacentral:rRNA from 1 species
GAUGAACGCUGGCGGCGUGCCUAAUACAUGCAAGUCGAGCGAACGGACGAGAAGCUUGCUUCUCUGAUGUUAGCGGCGGACGGGUGAGUAACACGUGGAUAACCUACCUAUAAGACUGGGAUAACUUCGGGAAACCGUAGCUAAUACCGGACAAUAUUUUGAACCGCAUGGUUCAAAAGUGAAAGACGGUCUUGCUGUCACUUAUAGAUGGAUCCGCGCUGCAUUAGCUAGUUGGUAAGGUAACGGCUUACCAAGGCAACGAUGCAUAGCCGACCUGAGAGGGUGAUCGGCCACACUGGAACUGAGACACGGUCCAGACUCCUACGGGAGGCAGCAGUAGGGAAUCUUCCGCAAUGGGCGAAAGCCUGACGGAGCAACGCCGCGUGAGUGAUGAAGGUCUUCGGAUCGUAAAACUCUGUUAUUAGGGAAGAACAUAUGUGUAAGUAACUGUGCACAUCUUGACGGUACCUAAUCAGAAAGCCACGGCUAACUACGUG